GGCGGAUGUAGCCAAGUGGGUCAAGGCGGU
rnacentral:tRNA from 1 species